UUCUUAUAGCAGAUUCAAUGUUGGGGCUAAAAUUUUCAACUCUGCAACAAGUGUCAACUUAGCAGUUCCACACCUUCAAUAGACGGGCUAGAGAUGCGUAUUUUUGCUAUGUUAACCUACCAAGUAGUCUUCAUUAAGCUACAAAGUCAAAAUUUGUGUACCAGAUGUUCCAGACUCAAAUUUCAUUGUCAAGUGAUCAAUUGUUA